rnacentral:lncRNA from 1 species
CUCUCCCUUUCUUUUUUUCUUUUAAUUUUACUCAGCUCUGAUAGCCCUUGCCCUGUUUGAGGUUAAUUUUCUUUCGGGUUGCAUUCGAGUGACUCACAAUUCUGGAAAUCAAUGAAAAUUUGCAAAGUGCCUGAACAGCCUUUUUAACUUUCCCUUCAACCUUUGAAAAAGGGAUGAGUCUUUUGGGGGAAAAUGAGCAGAUGGUGCCUAAAGCAGUUGGCCAAAUAUCUAUAACAAUGCUGUUACUUGACUCUGUGUCAUCGACUAGAGCAUCUGUCAUGAGGAAGAGUUAUGCUUCUGUGCUUCUCUCUUUCGACAAUUAAUCACAUCUCUCUUCCUUUCCUCGUUGUUCAGCAUGUUGUCUUUUUCAGGACCUGGUGCCAGGAGAUUUCAGUGACUCUCUGACAUAAUUCACAAAAUAUACUACAACAAUGCCAUUAUUNCAUCUACAUGCUGCAGAACCUGGAAAACUGGCAAUGUAAUUUAGCUUGAGUCCAAAUGCCUGAGAAUCAGGUGAAGGGUUGAUGAUAUAAGCCCCAGUAUAACUUUGAAGGUCCAGGAACCAGGAUUCCCAAUGUCUGUGGGUAGGAGAAGACAGAUUUCCCAGGUUAAAUGGUACAAGUAAAUUUAUCCUUUCUCCACCUCUUUGUCCUUUGGGUCCACAAUGGAUUACAUGAUAUAGACCCACAUUGUUGAGAGUGAUCUUUAUUCAGUCUACUGAUACAAGUGCUAAUUUAUUCUAAAAAUAUUUUCACAUAUAUACCCAGAAAUAAUGAUUUUACCAACUAUCUGCCCAUCCUUUAGUGAAGUCAAGUUGACACACAAAAUAAGUCAUCACGAUCACUUCACACAGAGGUUAUAAAUACCCAUGACUCUACUUUGGCCAAAGUUACAGAAGAGAGGGCAGAAGAUGUGCUCAAAGUUGAAAGAGUCAUAGUCCUAAUAAUAAAACCAUUCUUCCCAAGGUUCUCAUCAAACACACAUCCUCACAAAUACUUGUACAUGAAUGUUUAUAAAAACACUUAUAAUUUUCAAGCAGUAGAACGUUCAUCAACUGAUGAGUGAAUAAACUACAUGCAGUAUGUAUGUGCAGUGUACUAUUACUCAGCCAUAAGAUGAAGUACUGAUACAUGCUGCAACCUCAAAAACAUUUUUAAGUGAAAGAAGCUACUUGUGGUUAUACUCAUAUAACCACAUGUUAUAUGAUUCCAUUCAUAUGAAAAUCCAGAAUAGGAAAAUCUAUAUAUACAGAAAUUAGGUUAAUAUUUGCCUAAGGCUACAAGGGGGAUAGAGCAUGGGGGUGGUGUUAGCUAAAGAAUGUAAAGUUUCUUUGUGAGGUGAUAAAAUAUUCUCAAUUUGUGGUGAUUGCACAUAUCUGUGACUACACUAAACAACACUAAAUUGAGAGUUUCAUCUCACUUGCUACUUAAAAUUUAAACAAAACAAACCCAAAGAAUAUAUAGAAUAAGCAGUUGUGGGAAAGCAGGCUCUGUGACUCAGAUCUACUUCCUAGUACCUGUCUUGGAUUCCCACACAUGGUAGACUCUCAAUAAAUAUGUGUUGUUGAAUAUAUGAACAGAAACAAUAAGAAUUUUCCACAUGCUGUGAGAUCAAGAGCUAUUGGAGAUAUAUAUGAAACUGUUGUAUAAAGUAUCUCAGAAAUUUUGAGGAUCCCUAAAUAUAAAAAACUCCAUUUUUAUGUGACAGAAAAUUAUGAUUACUUUGGUUCUCUGGGCAGUCUUUUCAAAAUAUAGAGCUAAGAAGACAGAGUACUCUAAAUAGAAGCACACCCUAAACAUUCUAGUAUUCUGUUGCCUUAGAGCGAUAAGCCUAUUUUAUAAUCCAUUUAUGGUAUAUCCUUCCAUGAAACUGACUAUAAUUUUAUUUCAAUCUCCAAGGACAAAUUCACUUAAAAAUGUUUUCAUAUUUUGUCACGUGGUUGAAGUUUUUCUGCCAACCUCCUUUCGUGGCUAUCUCUCAGGUUGCACAAUUCUAGAUUUUUUUCAUUAUAUGAAUUAAUAUAAGAAUUUAUAUAGUCUUUUAAGUGCCAACAAAGCAUUACUUUUUUUCAGAUAUACUGGAUGUCAUCCCUCUAGGAAACCUAAGUCCAGCU